CCUACGGGUGGCAGCAGUGAGGAAUAUUGGUCAAUGGACGAGAGUCUGAACCAGCCAAGUAGCGUGAAGGAUGACUGCCCUAUGGGUUGUAAACUUCUUUUAUAUGGGAAUAAAACGUUCCACGUGUGGGAUUUUGUAUGUACCAUAUGAAUAAGGAUCGGCUAACUCCGUGCCAGCAGCCGCGGUAAUACGGAGGAUCUGAGCGUUAUCCGGAUUUAUUGGGUUUAAAGGGAGCGUAGGUGGAUUGUUAAGUCAGUUGUGAAAGUUUGCGGCUCAACCGUAAAAUUGCAGUUGAAACUGGCAGUCUUGAGUACAGUAGAGGUGGGCGGAAUUCGUGGUGUAGCGGUGAAAUGCUUAGAUAUCACGAAGAACUCCGAUUGCGAAGACAGUUCACUGGACUGCAACUGACACUGAGGCUCGAAAGUGUGGGUAUCAAACAGGAUUAGAUACCCUGGUAGUC
rnacentral:rRNA from 1 species